UGCAUAGAUCAAAUAUGCAAAUUUUUUAAAAAUUUGAAAAUCAUUUAAUACUUCGUUUCAUUAAAUCGAAUCAAUGUAUAAAAUGAUUUUAUGAUUAUCCGUUAAUUUGAAUUAAUGAAAUGAAGUAUUAAAUGAUUUUCAAUUUUUUAAAAAUUUUACAGAUUUGAUCUAUGCA
rnacentral:miRNA from 1 species